CGGUAGAGCAUCAGACUUUUAAUC
rnacentral:piRNA from 1 species